rnacentral:rRNA from 1 species
AUUGAACGCUGGCGGCAGGCCUAACACAUGCAAGUCGAACGAGUGGCGGACGGGUGAGUAAUGUCUGGGAAACUGCCUGAUGGAGGGGGAUAACUACUGGAAACGGCAGCUAAUACCGCAUACCAUCAGAUGUGCCCAGACGGGAUUAGCUAGUUGGUGGGGUAACGGCUCACCAAGGCGACGAUCCCCAGCUGGUCUGAGAGGAUGACCGGCAACACUGGAACUGAGACACGGUCCAGACUCAUACGAGAGGCAGCAGUGGUGAAUAUUGCGCAAUGGGCGCAAGCCUGAUGCAGCCAUGCCGCGUGUAUGAGGAAGGCCUGCGGGUUGUAAAGUGCUUUCAGCGGGGAGGCGUUACCCGCAGAAGAAGCACCGGCUAACUCCGUGCCAGCAGCCGCGGUAAUAC